CCCCACUGCCCCGACCCUGAGGACGGCGGACAUGUCUGAGAGCGCGGAAGAUGGCGGCCCGGCCUGCGGAGGCCAGCAAGAGUAGGCUGGCCUACACCAGCUGCUCACAAAUCCACUGCGAAGACUUUCCUGGGAGCACUCCUCUGCGUCCAUGCCAAGAAUCCCUUCUACAGCAGACCACACAGCUUGCAACCCAUGCUGGAUUCCAGGAAACUACCACCAAGAAGAACUUUCAAACUGUAAUCACUAAAAGCAACAACAGCAACCCGCAUGGCUUCCUGGCAGAGUCUCUAUCCCCUUCUCUUGAAGUGGGAGGAACUCUGAGACUACAGCUAGUAACAGAACCUGGCAAAAGUGAUGACUCACCAUUUCCAGAGCUGAGCAUAAGAGGCAUUGUGCUUUCUGCUGAGUUCUUUCUCUCAAGGCAGGCCUUUGGGGCUCUGAAUCACUGCACAGUUGCCUUGCAGCCACCGUUGCUGGAUAGAGCACACAAAGAGGUCACACAGAGAGAAAAGGGAAUGCAAGAGGAGCCCGAGCCGAAUGCUUCCAGCGUGAACGCCUGCCAUGUGAGUGAGUGGCCUGUGCAUGUUCCUGUCUACAGCCACAUCAUGGCUAUGGCCUCCGAAAAAGUUCUAGGAGAUGCCUGAUUGGGAAGUUGUUUUGUUUUGCUUUGCUCAAAUAAAUGCUACUGAAUUAAACA
rnacentral:lncRNA from 1 species